GAAAUGAGAUAAUUAAUGUGAAUUGCAGAAUUCAGUGAAUCAUCGAGUCUUUGAACGCACAUUGCGCCCCCUGGUAUUCCGGGGGGCAUGCCUGUCCGAGCGUCAUUGCUGCCCUCAAGCACGGCUUGUGUGUUGGGCUUCCGUCCCUGGCAACGGGGACGGGCCCAAAAGGCAGUGGCGGCACCAUGUCUGGUCCUCGAGCGUAUGGGGCUUUGUCACCCGCUCCCGUAGGUCCAGCUGGCAGCUAGCCUCGCAACCAAUCUUUUUAACCAGGUUGACCUCGGAUCAGGUAGGGAUACCCGCUGAACUUAAGC
rnacentral:misc_RNA from 1 species